rnacentral:lncRNA from 1 species
CAUGGGGAUUUCUGACUGAGUGGGUAGCAUCGAUGAAGCUUCUGAAGUUGACUGAAGUGAAGGAGGUGAUGGCGAGGGAAUUGAGGCAACUCGAGGUGCCACCAUACUCGGAGCUCUUAUGCAAGGAUCUCAUCUAAAAAUUAUACUCUGGAGGUUCAAAUCCCGAAGGUCAAUGUUGGUGCUUAUUUGUUCGACCCCCUAGCCAUGGGCCCAAGCUUAUUAACUUUUCUAUGUUUGCAUAGGUUUGAUAUUGUCUCGGGA